GGGGAAUAUUGCACAAUGGGCGCAAGCCUGAUGCAGCCAUGCCGCGUGUGUGAAGAAGGCCUUCGGGUUGUAAAGCACUUUCAGCGGGGAGGAAGGCGGUGAGGUUAAUAACCUCAUCGAUUGACGUUACCCGCAGAAGAAGCACCGGCUAACUCCGUGCCAGCAGCCGCGGUAAUACGGAGGGUGCAAGCGUUAAUCGGAAUUACUGGGCGUAA
rnacentral:rRNA from 1 species